rnacentral:rRNA from 1 species
GACGAACGCUGGCGGCGUGCUUAACACAUGCAAGUCGAACGGUGAAGCGCCUUCCUUUUUGGUGGGUGUGGAUGAGUGGCGAACGGGUGAGUAACACGUGAGUAACCUGCCCCCUUCUUCUGGAUAACCGCAUGAAAGUGUGGCUAAUACGGGAUAUUCUGGGUCUGUCGCAUGAUGGGUCUGGGAAAGAUAUUGUUUCGGUGGGGGAUGGGCUCGCGGCCUAUCAGCUUGUUGGUGGGGUGAUGGCCUACCAAGGCGGUGACGGGUAGCCGGCCUGAGAGGGUGGACGGUCACACUGGGACUGAGACACGGACCAGACUCCUACGGGAGGCAGCAGUGGGGAAUAUGGCACAAUGGGCGCAAGCCUGAUGCAGCGACGCCGCGGGAGGGAUGGAGGCCUUCGGGUUGUGAACCUCUUUCGCCAGUGAAGCAGGCCUGCCUUGUUUGUGGGUGGGUUGACGGUAGCUGGAUAAGAAGCGCCGGCUAACUACGUG